AUUCCAGCGAAUGCGUUACGACAGGCACUGUCAUUGUGUGAAUUAUUAAUGAUAUAGUGAUCCAAGCAUUACGUCGAGUUUGCCGUAAGCUUACCUCAUAGCCAUCAUAAGCCAGGUACGCUGACGGAAGGGUAACGUAACCACACGGAAGAGCCAAAAAGUACUAUGGAGGAAUACAAACGCAAAAGCAGCAGCAGUAACAACAACAACAGAAAACAGUUUUGUUAGAUAAAUGGCCUUGGGCAAAAGUCUUUAUAACUGCAAUAACAUAAGUUAGUGGAAACAGUGUCAGGCUUUCCCAGAUGGAGACAAUAUAGUGAGGUAAAAUUUUAGUGCUGUUUAAAUGAAUGCGUUGUGUUUGUUAUUCAUUUAAAAAUAUGAACAUAAAGUUAUGACUCAUGACAAACUGGCAAGAGAGUAAAUAACACAGAUCUGUCCAAAUAUGAGGGAAACUAUAUUCCUUUGUAGGCCUACUGUGUAGCAUUAUUAGAAUUAUUCACCCAGUGUUUAUUCACAAGAUUGACCGAAGCUUAUUUAGAUGACCAAAUUAUGAACAAUGACCCACCCUGAGGCUGUAAGCGUGUGCCUGAUGAGAGAAUGCGUACUUGAAGCAGUUAUAGGACUUAAUAUAUUCAAGAAGACCAAGCGAUCCUUAUAGGACUACAUGCAAAGCAAUGUAUUCCAGACCGCACAACUGGACAUACAGAUUGUGCCCUGAUGCCAUCUGCCCCGUUCUCCCAGCCUCAUCUUCCCUCUCCAGGGUUUCCGCGGGGUUGUAAAAGGCAUUGCACUUCUGAGGUCAUCACCAUCUUUCUUCAGCCAACCAAAAUGAUUCUCACCAACCACCCCAGCUCUGCUAAGCUUGAUGUUGGAGGUCUGCUGUUUUUGAAGCAGGGGACCACUGUCCAUUAAAGGCUUCAUAAACCAUUUAACAAAAUCACAUAAGAUAGGGUAGUUCAUACUCCAUGCGAUGUGCCAUACAAUGGAAGGGCCAUGUUCCUUAUCACAUCUGGAUACUGCAAAGCUCCUGUCUCCUCAACAAGUUACGAACUAAUCAAUUAUUAAAUGAUGAAAUGCUAUGGAAAAGCAAAGAUAUUUCUUCCUGUGGAGUUUGAGUCUUAAAUUUAGUAAUUACUGUUUAAUGGCAUAAAUAAAAGUUAAAUAUUAUGUUA